AAUGAAGUGACUGAUAAAAGUGAUAAAUUGUAAAUUUAUUUAUGUGGUAAUUCACCUUCAUUA
rnacentral:tRNA from 1 species